rnacentral:siRNA from 1 species
UGAGCUUCUUAAUGAGGUGGU